ensembl:snRNA U6 U6 spliceosomal RNA
GUACUCACUUCAGCAGCACGUAUACUAAAAUUAGAAUGAUACAGAGAUUAGCAUGGCCCCUGCGCAAGGAUAACAUGCAAAUUUGUGAUGUCUUCCAUAUUUUU